CACCAUAGAGAACGGGGGUAUACAAUAGAUAACAAGUAGUUAGGUUUGAACAAAGUGCAGGACAAGGCAUAAGAUCAGUGACAUCAAAGAGAAUCUGGAAACCACUCAAUGACUUGUCAUGGGCGUUGUAACUUUGAAAAUUUCUGUUUCUCUCUGAUAAAUGGAGAAGUAAGAUGCUUACUAUAAUUAUUUCAGGAUGAAAGUGGGGAAAUUUACCAUUAUGGAAUACAAGUUUCCAAAGCAACUUCUAUGUUGAUAUUUAUUGAGAAGCUCAACAUUCUUGUUUGGAUCAACUUAUGGUACCACAUAAUCGUUGCACCUUGGAACACUUUUUUUGGCUGCCAUGGCUGGAAAUUGCUCUAACUAGUGUAGUAAUAUACUAAUAUCCCCUUCAAGGUAUCUUCAGCUGGGUAUUUGACUUUCAGAUGUUCUUGGAGUUAGCACUUGUUUCUAUGGAGAGUUAAAUUAGGGUUCAGCUGUCUUCCUUCAUGUAAGGCUAAAUUUCUAGCUAUCUAGAGGUGAUCCACAAGGACCUCAACAAGAGCUUCAAACAGAAGAAAUUCCUCAUCAUUUUGUGGUAGAAAACCAGCAGGGGGGACAACCAGAAAUUCAAAGAAUUAAGCUGAGUUAAAUUGCAUCACAUCAGGUAUGAACACCAUCUUCCUCCAAACCACAUCAAUCUGGCCGCAUAGUAUCUUCAGCUGUUACGUAAUCCAUGUUUCAGUGUCAUAAUAUCCCCCUCCAAGGUAUCUUCAGCUAGUAUGUAACAAGUACAAGGGUAGCAAUUUGCCUGGCAAUCAGAGAAGCCUUAAUAUUGUUGAAAAACAAUGGGGUUGUUAUCUGAUGUUAUAACACUUAUUAUUAGUAGGGGAAGCUAGUCAAUAUUGCAGUUGCCUUAGUUCUAAGCUAAUAGCAAAGCCAAAAAUAAGUGACGAGAGGACCAAAC